UACGGGAGGCGACAGUGGGGAAUUUUGGACAAUGGGCGAAAGCCUGAUCCAGCAAUGCCGCGUGUGUGACGAAGGCCUUCGGGUUGGAAAGCACUUUUGGCCGGAAAGAAAUCGGUCGGGCGACAGACCGCGACUGGAUGACGGGACCGGAAGAAGAAGCACCGGCUAACUACGUGCCAGCAGCCGCGGUAAA
rnacentral:rRNA from 1 species